rnacentral:lncRNA from 1 species
GGCCGGCCUGGUUUACUUAUCAAAUUGUAUUGGUGUUUAAAGUGUGUCAUAUGAAAGUUUCAAAGUUCCACUUAAACUUAACUUUAUCAAUGAUCAAUGUAAAUGAGGUCAUUGCCAUAUGAACCCUACCAGGCAAACAUGUACAACUUACAACCAUACACUAGACCACAUAUAUGUAUCAUAUUACUUAUGGUAUAGAUAAAUUG